AUUGAACGCUGGCGGCAUGCCUUACACAUGCAAGUCGAACGGUAACAGGUCUUCGGAUGCUGACGAGUGGCGAACGGGUGAGUAAUACAUCGGAACGUGCCUAGUAGUGGGGGAUAACUACUCGAAAGAGUGGCUAAUACCGCAUGAGAUCUACGGAUGAAAGCAGGGGAUCGCAAGACCUUGUGCUACUAGAGCGGCCGAUGGCAGAUUAGGUAGUUGGUGGGAUAAAAGCUUACCAAGCCGACGAUCUGUAGCUGGUCUGAGAGGACGAUCAGCCUCACUGGGACUGAGACACGGCCCAGACUCCUACGGGAGGCAGCAGUGGGGAAGUUUGGACAAUGGGCGCAAGCCUGAUCCAGCACUGCCGCGUGCAGGAUGAAGCCCUUCGGGUUGUAAACUGCUUUUGUACGGAACGAAAAGCCCCGGGUUAAUACCCUGGGGUCAUGACGGUACCGUAAGAAUAAGCACCGGCUAACUACGUGCCAGCCGCCGCCGUAA
rnacentral:rRNA from 1 species